UCUGGGAUCAUAUCCAUUAGUCUGGUCUGGGAUCAUAUCUGAAUAUCCAUUAGUCUGGUCUGGAGGUCAGCUGUCUGGGAUCAUAUCUGAAUAUCCAUGCCUUGAUGACAAUACUACCAAACACUAUGGUAGAACAUAACUCAACACUACGGUAGAACAUAACUCAACACUACGGUAGAACAUAACUCAAUACUACCAAACACUAUGGUAGAACAUAACUCACUACUACGGUAGAACAUAACUCACUACUACCAAACACUAUGGUAGAACUCAACACUACGGUAGAACAUAACUCACUACUACCAAACACUAUGGUAGAACUCAACACUACGGUAGAACAUAACUCACUACUACCAAACACUACGGUAGAACAUAACUCACUACCACCAAACACUAUGGUAGAACAUAACUCAACACUACCAAACACUAUGGUAGAACAUAACUCAAUACUACCAAACACUAUGGUAGAACAUAACUCAAUACUACCAAACACUAUGGUAGAACAUAACUCAACACUACGGUAGAACAUAACUCAACACUACCAAACACUACGGUAGAACAUAACUCAACACUACCAAACACUAUGGUAGAACAUAACUCAACACUACGGUAGAACAUAACUCGGGGACACUGAACACACACCGUAACCUGUUGGCCCCUGGGAGGAGAUGAAAUAAAAGAUCCCAGAAAUGUUCCAUAACAAGGAAAAUGUAUUUCUUCAAAAUGUUGUGUUUUACGUCCCUUUUUA
rnacentral:lncRNA from 1 species